UCAUCUUUUUUGAAUGUGAAGGCAAGAAGAACAAAGGAAAAUCUUCUUCCAGUUCAGGUUCUACAGCAUCAGGCGAUGCUAUGGUAGAGUAAAAUAGCUUUGCAAGAAAAUGUUCUAAAAAAGAUAAAGAUGUAGAUUGCAUUGAAUGAGAAGCCCAUGACUAAAUGCUUGAAGCUAAGAUUACGGCUCCAAUUGAAAUCAUGAGCAAACCUCAAAACUCUCCAAACAGCUCCAAUUUAUUGUUAUUAUUAUUACCCAACUUUUAAACAACUUACGGUUUUAAUCUU